GCAGUCGUGUCCGAGAGAUUAAGGCGAUGGACUCGAAAUCCAUUGGGGUCUCCACGCGCAGGUUCGAAUCCUGCCGUCUUCG
rnacentral:tRNA from 1 species